rnacentral:tRNA from 1 species
GCUCAUAUAGCUCAGUAGGUAGAGCGUCACCUUGGUAAGGUGGAGGUAGUCGGUUCGAUCCCGAUCGUGGGCUCCA